rnacentral:rRNA from 1 species
GGCGGACGGGUGAGUAAUGCGUAGGAAUUUACCUCAAAGCGGGGGAUAGCCCGGAGAAAUCCGGAUUAAUACCGCAUGUGCUCUACGGAGUAAAGCGGGCCUCUUCUUGAAAGCUCGCACUUUGAGAUAAGCCUACGUCGGAUUAGCUUGUUGGUAGGGUAAAAGCCUACCAAGGCGACGAUCCGUAGCUGGUUUGAGAGGAUGAUCAGCCACGCUGGGACUGAGACACGGCCCAG